GGAUUCAGGGAGAAGCAAAUUCAAGACGGCGCAUGUGAAUUGCUUUCUCUUUGAAAUUGAAAAUGGAAGGAAGCUUCCAGUUUUGGAAGGAGAAAUUUAUGCAAUUGAACAGAAAGGUUCUCCAUUACGUAUGUGCAGUGAAUUAACUGCCUUGGCUGAAUCGGGAUUGGAACACGACGAUAACACUGUCAGUGUAGUUAUAGAUAAUGUAUAGACAACAUAAUACAAUAUAAUGACGUAUAUAGGGUAUAAUGACAAUAUUAUGGCUAUAAUCUCGAACAAUCUGUGCCAGUGGAGGUAGCGACGACAACAAGACAACUGCGAAUUGAGAGAGAUACAACUACCUGAGAAAUAUAGGCAGAAGAACUUCGACGUUUCAAGCGAGGGACCUUCGUCGGAAAGUUUAAGCCUAGUUUCCAUUGGGUCGUUAGUUGUCGCUGGCACGACAAGCGGCAGAUGUGAAAUAGUCUAAUAUAAUAAGUCUUUUUGUGAGUUAUAUGCAAAUCAGUCUUAAUGAUUGCAGAGUUUUAUAAAGUUUUGUUGACACUCUAUUACAUCAGCCACUUGUCGUGCCAGCGACAACUAACGACCAAAUGGAAACUAGCUUAAUAGCUUAAUCAGCAGCAAUAUUGGUUAUAGUGUAAUGACAAUAAAUGUUGGCUGUAUCGUAUUAAAUGACAAUAAACAAGUUUAUGUGAUGUAUAAUAAUCGUAUGAUGAUGAA
rnacentral:lncRNA from 1 species